rnacentral:rRNA from 1 species
UACGUAGGGUCCGAGCGUUGUCCGGAAUUACUGGGCGUAAAGAGCUCGAAGGCGGUUUGUCACGUUGUUCGUGAAAACUCACAGCUUAACUGUGGGCGUGCGGGCGAUACGGGCAGGCUAGAGUUCGGUAGGGGAGACUGGAAUUCCUGGUGUAGCGGUGAAAUGCGCAGAUAUCAGGAGGAACACCGGUGGCGAAGGCGGGUCUCUGGGCCGAUACUGACGCUGAGGAGCGAAAGCGUGGGGAGCGAACAGG